rnacentral:pre_miRNA from 1 species
AGUCGUAAAUGCUUACGAGACGUGCACUCCAGUUGGAAUGGUUGUCAACCACCUUGUGGAUUGCAUAGUCUCAUAAGUGCCAUCGACU